rnacentral:rRNA from 1 species
CUUGGUCAUUUAGAGGAAGUAAAAGUCGUAACAAGGUUUCCGUAGGUGAACCUGCGGAAGGAUCAUUAAAGAUUGGCCGAGAGGCCUUAUCUCUAUAUCCCUCACCUCUGUGAACUGUGGACCCUCGGGUCUAUCUAUACAAACAUCAGUGUAAUGAACGUAAAGUAACAUUAACAAAACAAAACUUUCAACAACGGAUCUCUUGGCUCUCGCAUCGAUGAAGAACGCAGCGAAAUGCGAUAAGUAAUGUGAAUUGCAGAAUUCAGUGAAUCAUCGAAUCUUUGAACGCACCUUGCGCCUCUUGGUAUUCCGAGAGGCAUGCCUGUUUGAGUGUCAUGAAAUCUCAAUCCCCCCGGGUUUAUGAUCUGGGCUGGGACUUGGACUUGGGCGUCCUGCCGGUAACACGGCUCGCCUCAAAUGACUUAGUGGAUCUCUCAGCAUCCGUGGCAGACGUAAUAAGUUUCGUCUCGUCCCUUGCCGAUGAGUCUGCUCAUAACCCGCCAUCGCGCACUUUUAGACUCUGACCUCAAAUCAGGUAGGACUACCCGCUGAACUUAAGCAUAUCAAUAAGCGGAGGAAAAGAAACUAACAAGGAUUCCCCUAGUAACGGCGAGUGAACCGGGAAGAGCUCAAAUUUGAAAUCUGGCGUCCUCAGGGCGUCCGAGUUGUAAUCUAUAGAGGCGUUUUCCGUGCCGGACCGUGUCCAAGUUCCUUGGAACAGGAUAUCAAAGAGGGUGACAAUCCCGUACUUGACACGACAAUCGGUGCUCUGUGAUACGUCUUCUACGAGUCGAGUUGUUUGGGAAUGCAGCUCAAAAUGGGUGGUGAGUUCCAUCUAAAGCUAAAUAUUGGCGAGAGACCGAUAGCGAACAAGUACCGUGAGGGAAAGAUGAAAAGCACUUUGGAAAGAGAGUUAAACAGUACGUGAAAUUGUUGAAAGGGAAACGAUUGAAGUCAGUCGUGACCGAGAGGCUCAGCCGGCUCUGCCGGUGUAUUCCCCUCGGUCGGGUCAACAUCAGUUUUGUCCGGUGGAUAAGGGCGGUAGGAAGGUGGCACCCUCGGGUGUGUUAUAGCCUGUCGUCGCAUACAUCGGAUGAGACUGAGGAACGCAGCUCGCCUUCAUGGCCGGGGUUCGCCCACGUACGAGCUUAGGAUGUUGACAUAAUGGCUUUAAAC